rnacentral:rRNA from 2 species
UUAUAUGGUCAAGAAGAGAAGCGCAAACGGUGGAUGCCUUGGCAGUAAGAGGCGAAGAAGGACGUGGAAUCCUGCGAAAAGCUAUGGGGAGCUGGAAACGAGCGUUGAGCCAUAGAUGUCCGAAUGGGGGAACCCGGCUGCAGCGAUGCGGUCAUUUGCAUUUGAAUACAUAGGAUGCAAAGGCGAACUCGGGGAACUGAAACAUCUAAGUACCCGAAGGAAAAGAAAUCAAGAGAGAUUCUCCAAGUAGCGGCGAGCGAACGGGGAGGAGCCUGGCGUGAUUUAUUAUUGAACUGAGUAGAACAAUUUGGGAAAGUUGGCCGAAGAGGGUGAAAGCCCCGUAUACGAAGGUUUGAUGAGGAACUAGGCACGCGAACAAGUAGGCCGGGACACGUGAAAUCCUGGUUGAAGAUGGGUGGACCAUCAUCCAAGGCUAAAUACUACUUACUGACCGAUAGUGAACCAGUACCGUGAGGGAAAGGUGAAAAGAACCCCGGAGAGGGGAGUGAAAUAGAAUCUGAAACCGUUUGCGUACAAGCAGUGGGAGCAUGGUUUAGGCUGUGUGACUGCGUACCUUUUGUAUAAUGGGUCAGCGAGUUACUUUCAGUGGCGAGGUUAACUGAAUAAGGGAGCCGUAGAGAAAUCGAGUCUGAAUAGGGCGAUAGUCGCUGGGAGUAGACCCGAAACCGGGCGAUCUAGCCAUGUGCAGGAUGAAGGUUGGGUAACACCAACUGGAGGUCCGAACCGGGUAAUGUUGAAAAAUUAUCGGAUGACGUGUGGCUAGGAGUGAAAGGCUAAUCAAGCCCGGAGAUAGCUGGUUCUCCCCGAAAGCUAUUUAGGUAGCGCCUCGUGAAUGAUUACUGGGGGUAGAGCACUGUUUCGGCUAGGGGGCUGUCAUGGCUUACCAAACCGAUGCAAACUCCGAAUACCGGCUAAUUGAAUCACGGGAGACACACGGCGGGUGCUAACGUCCGUCGUGGAGAGGGAAACAACCCAGACCGCCAGCUAAGGUCCCCAAGUACUAGUUAAGUGGGAAACGAUGUGGGAAGGCAUAGACAGCCAGGAGGUUGGCUUAGAAGCAGCCACCCUUUAAAGAAAGCGUAAUAGCUCACUGGUCGAGUCGGCCUGCGCGGAAGAUGUAACGGGGCUAAAACUAGUCACCGAAGCUGCGGAUGUGCGCGAAGGCGCACGUGGUAGGGGAGCGUUCUGUAGGCUGAUGAAGGUGCAUUGAGAAGUGUGCUGGAGGUAUCAGAAGUGCGAAUGCUGACAUGAGUAACGAUAAUGUGGGUGAAAAGCCCACACGCCGGAAGUCCCAGGUUUCCUGCACGACGUUAAUCGGAGCAGGGUGAGUCGGCCCCUAAGGCGAGGCUGAAGAGCGUAGUCGAUGGGAACCAGGUUAAUAUUCCUGGACUUUUUAUAAGUGGUGAAGUGGGGACGAAGAAGGCUAGGUGAGCCAGGCGUUGGUUGUCCUG